UUGGAGGGCAAGUCUGGUGCCAGCAGCCGCGGUAAUUCCAGCUCCAAUAGCGUAUAUUAAAGUUGUUGCAGUUAAAAAGCUCGUAGUUGAAUUUCGGGGUUUAUCCGUUGGUCGGGCUUUUGGGUCUGUACUGGCGUGAUGAAUUCCUACCUUCUGAAUAACCAGCAUGUCAUUAAUUUGGUGCGCCGGGGAAGCAGGACUGUUACCUUGAAAAAAUUAGAGUGCUUAAAGCAGGCUAUUGCCUGAAUACAUUAGCAUGGAAUAAUGAAAUAGGACGGCAUGGUUCUAUUUUGUUGGUUUCUAGGAUCACCGUAAUGAUUAAUAGGGAUAGUUGGGGGCAUUAGUAUUCAAUUGUCAGAGGUGAAAUUCUUGGAUUUAUUGAAGACUAACUUCUGCGAAAGCAUUUGCCAAGGAUGUUUUCAUUAAUCAAGAACGAAAGUUAGGGGAUCGAAGACGAUCAGAUACCGUCGUAGUCUUAACCAUAAACUAUGCCGACUAGGGAUCGGACGAUGUUAAUUUUUUAAUGACUCGUUCGGCGCCUUACGGGAAAC
rnacentral:rRNA from 1 species